ensembl:snRNA U1 U1 spliceosomal RNA
AUACUUACCUGGCAGGGGAGAUACCAUGAUCAUGAAGGUGGCUUUCCCAGGGCAAGGCUAUCCAUUGCACUCCAGAUGUGCUGACCCCUGUGAUUUCCCCAAAUGUAGGAAACUCAGCUGCAUAAUUUGUGGUAGUGGGGAACCUAACCCUGA